CCUACGGGAGGCUGCAGUGGGGGAUAUUGGACAAUGGGGGGAACCCUGAUGCAGCGACGCCGCGUGAGUGAUGAAGUACUUCGGUUUGUAAAGCUCUGUUAGCAGGGAAGAAAGAAAUGACGGUACCUGACCAAGAAGCGCCGGCUAACUACGCGCCAGCAGCCGCGGUAAUAUGUAGGGGGCAAGCGUUAUCCGGAAUUACGGGGUGUAAAGGGAGCGUAGACGGUUAAGUAAGUCUGGAGUGAAAGGCCGGGGCCCAACCCCGGGACUGCUCUGGAUACUAUCGAACUUGAGUGCAGGAGAGGUAAGCGGAAUUCCUGGUGUAGCGGUGAAAUGCGUAGAUAUCAGGAGGAACACCAAUGGCGAAGGCAGCUUACUGGACUGUAACUGACGCUGAGGCGCGAAAGCGUGGGGAGCAAACAGGAUUAGAUACCCGGGUAGUC
rnacentral:rRNA from 1 species